CAUGGUUCAAAAGUGAAAGACGGUCUUGCUGUCACUUAUAGAUGGAUCCGCGCUGCAUUAGCUAGUUGGUAAGGUAACGGCUUACCAAGGCAACGAUGCAUAGCCGACCUGAGAGGGUGAUCGGCCACACUGGAACUGAGACACGGUCCAGACUCCUACGGGAGGCAGCAGUAGGGAAUCUUCCGCAAUGGGCGAAAGCCUGACGGAGCAACGCCGCGUGAGUGAUGAAGGUCUUCGGAUCGUAAAACUCUGUUAUUAGGGAAGAACAUAUGUGUAAGUAACUGUGCACAUCUUGACGGUACCUAAUCAGAAAGCCACGGCUAACUACGUGCCAGCAGCCGCGGUAAUACGUAGGUGGCAAGCGUUAUCCGGAAUUAUUGGGCGUAAAGCGCGCGUAGGCGGUUUUUUAAGUCUGAUGUGAAAGCCCACGGCUCAACCGUGGAGGGUCAUUGGAAACUGGAAAACUUGAGUGCAGAAGAGGAAAGUGGAAUUCCAUGUGUAGCGGUGAAAUGCGCAGAGAUAUGGAGGAACACCAGUGGCGAAGGCGACUUUCUGGUCUGUAACUGACGCUGAUGUGCGAAAGCGUGGGGAUCAAACAGGAUUAGAUACCCUGGUAGUCCACGCCGUAAACGAUGAGUGCUAAGUGUUAGGGGGUUUCCGCCCCUUAGUGCUGCAGCUAACGCAUUAAGCACUCCGCCUGGGGAGUACGACCGCAAGGUUGAAACUCAAAGGAAUUGACGGGGACCCGCACAAGCGGUGGAGCAUGUGGUUUAAUUCGAAGCAACGCGAAGAACCUUACCAAAUCUUGACAUCCUUUGACAACUCUAGAGAUAGAGCCUUCCCCUUCGGGGGACAAAGUGACAGGUGGUGCAUGGUUGUCGUCAGCUCGUGUCGUGAGAUGUUGGGUUAAGUCCCGCAACGAGCGCAACCCUUAAGCUUAGUUGCCAUCAUUAAGUUGGGCACUCUAAGUUGACUGCCGGUGACAAACCGGAGGAAGGUGGGGAUGACGUCAAAUCAUCAUGCCCCUUAUGAUUUGGGCUACACACGUGCUACAAUGGACAAUACAAAGGGCAGCGAAACCGCGAGGUCAAGCAAAUCCCAUAAAGUUGUUCUCAGUUCGGAUUGUAGUCUGCAACUCGACUACAUGAAGCUGGAAUCGCUAGUAAUCGUAGAUCAGCAUGCUACGGUGAAUACGUUCCCGGGUCUUGUACACACCGCCCGUCACACCACGAGAGUUUGUAACACCCGAAGCCGGUGGAGUAACCUUUUAGGAGCUAGCCGUCGAAGGUGGGACAAAUGAUUGGGGUGAAGUCGUAACAAGGUAGCCGUAUCGGAAGGUGCGGCUGGAUCACCU
rnacentral:rRNA from 2 species